rnacentral:rRNA from 1 species
AGCGAACGCUGGCGGCAGGCCUAACACAUGCAAGUCGAACGAAGUCUUCGGACAUAGUGGCGGACGGGUGAGUAACACGUGGGAACGUGCCUUUAGGUUCGGAAUAACUCAGGGAAACUUGUGCUAAUACCGAAUGCGCCCUUCGGGGGAAAGAUUUAUCGCCUUUAGAGCGGCCCGCGUCUGAUUAGCUAGUUGGUGAGGUAAAGGCUCACCAAGGCGACGAUCAGUAGCUGGUCUGAGAGGAUGAUCAGCCACAUUGGGACUGAGACACGGCCCAAACUCCUACGGGAGGCAGCAGUGGGGAAUCUUGCGCAAUGGGCGAAAGCCUGACGCAGCCAUGCCGCGUGAAUGAUGAAGGUCUUAGGAUUGUAAAAUUCUUUCACCGGGGACGAUAAUGACGGUACCCGGAGAAGAAGCCCCGGCUAACUUCGUGCCAGCAGCCGCUGUAAAAC